AGCUGUGACCGACCUAGUAUGACUUUGUGCCUCUUUGUAGACUGUUUUUUCUCAUUUCGACAUCUGGGCUUUUCUUUCUCAAUGGAGAUUCCUGAAGACAGCUAAGACAUGAGCUUCCUUGCCACUGGCUGCCUGCAAGGUGGUUGGCACUGGGGUACUCAGACUGUAGUUCUAAACAAAGUGAUAUAAAAACUUUUUUUCCCAACCUGAAUUAUGCAAGGAGAAGAACAAGUAGUCCUUUCCAUCAGUGGAAACACAGCUGAAGGGAACGUAGGGCAGAGAGAAAAUGGACAGUACUCUGAAGGUGUACGCAGACUAGAGGAAUGUCUUCUACUAAUACUGCAUCUAUAUAAAAUGGCUGGAACAUACAGCCAAAUAUGGCCUUGGUCAAGCUGGACCCUUGAGAGAGUCUUCUCAUGCUGUCAAUAGAAGCAAAUACUACAGAGCAGAAGAGAGCUAACUGUCCCUUUGAUGCUGUAAAUGAUGACAGUGAAGAAAUCAGAGUGGGUAUAGCUGUGAACAUGGGCCAUAAAAGGCUGCAGCCACUGCCGGGAGCUUACUUUAGAAACUCACAGGGCAGAUCUCCAAGAUCACAGUGUCUGCCAGGCAGAAGAUGGUGAAAGCAUGAAACAGCCACAACCUUCUUCCAUGAGGGCAUGAGGCAAGAUGGUUAGAGACCGCAGAUGACCAGUAGUCAUUUGUAUUGAGGACACAGCAAAGAGCAUCUGCCUGGCUGUGGAGACACCUGACAUAACCAGGACAUCCAAAGAAGUUUGCUGCAUGGCAGCACUUUAGACAUCUCCAGGAGAGAGAGCGGCAUUCAUUUGAAGCAGGCGGUAAGCGAGAGAUGUGUUCAUCUUCAUCAUGGCCCACUGGACAAGGCCCAGUGUGUGAACUCAGAAACAGACCUGACAAGUCCUUGCACAGGUAAAGCAGGAAGGAAUGCAAGCAUUUUUAUGUCCUUUCUGACCUUUUCAUACAUUUUUACAGACACAGACCUGGGCUGAAGAACUCUAUGUGACUGACUACAAAGCAUACACAGCAAACCCCACACAAUUAUGAGUUUGAUCUCGAGAUGAAAUUGGAGGAGCUAGGAUCUGUGUGUGUAUAUAUCUUUGCGCACAGUGGGGACUUCAUCUCUGUAUGUUAUGGGAGAGCUGGCCCUAAAACUGGUAAAAAUUUCACUGAGGCUCAAACAUAACAAAGCCAAAUCAGACCAUUAUUUAUUGUUUGCAAGAAUGGCUGUGGUAUUAAGAUGUCAAAUUCAGUGAAAUUUAAAAAGUUACAAAGUAAUGAGUUUAAAGCACUCUUUUUAAAAAGGAUUAAAGACGUUCCAAAGCAAAGCCUGCAGUCCCCCAUCUCUUGUAAUGGAAUGGCAGCAAGACUAGCCACCCUUAACCUUCCUCUCAUUCACUAAGUCUCACGCUGUGGCUAUAGACAAUUGCUCCAAGGCUGAAUUUAUGUCAGAUAAGUUCUGAGCCCAUUAAUGAUUCGGGCUUUGAUUUGUGAAAUAGAGGUGCCCCUGGGAUCUUUAAUCUAUCUGUAAAAAGCUUUUUGUAAGUUUUCUGAAAUGUCAUGUAGGAAAUCCAUGUACAGAGGGACCAGAUUAUGACCCAAUUACCAGCUGUGCUAAUCCAGAGUGAUUUCACUAAGUUCAGUGGAGAUGAUGAAGAUUUAAAAGAAUGUCAGCUUGGAUCAGAACUUAGCUUCUUGUCUCCUGUUCUAGCUUGAGAUCUAAAUAUUCCAGUUGAAAUUUUAAUUAUAUGUUCUUUGUUAUUGUUGUUGUUGUUGCAUAUGCAAGGCACUAGAAAAAUAAAUCUUUCCUUGUUUUAU
ensembl:lncRNA